AUUUGUCUGGUUAAUUCCGAUAACGAACGAGACCUUAACCUGCUAACUAGAUUCUUCUAUACUAUAGAUGAUAUCUUCUUAGAGGGACUAUGUAAUACAAAUACAUGGAAGUUUGAGGCAAUAACAGGUCAGUGAUGCCCUUAUAUGUCCUGGGCUGCACGCGUGCUACACUGAUGCAUACAACAAGUGCCUAACCAGACAUGGUAUGGCAAUCUCGAACAUGCAUCGUGAUGGGGAUAGAUCUUUGCAAUUAUAGAUCUUGAACGAGGAAUUCCUAGUAAGUGCAAGUCAUCAUCUUGCAUUGAUUAUGUCCCUGCCCUUUGUACACACCGCCCGUCGCUCCUACCGAUACCGGGUGAUCCGGUGAACCUUUUGGACUCAUUUGGGAAAGAUAAGUAAACCAUAUCACCUAGAGGAAGGAGAAGUCGUAACAAGGUUUCCGUAGGUGAACCUGCRGAAGGAUCA
rnacentral:rRNA from 1 species